CUGAGAAGGCCCCUGCGUGAUGCGAAGCAGCACGAUAUAAUAGGGGCCGACGACGUGCCCUCGACGCCGAAGGCGUAGGGGGCGAUACCAUAA
rnacentral:sRNA from 1 species